rnacentral:tRNA from 1 species
UAUUUACUAUUUGGCAGAACAUUGCGAUAGAUUUAGAAUCAAUACAAGCUCAU